UAAGCUGCUUAUGCCAGCCAGGGGAUGGCUCGGCUCAAGUGCUGACGAAGGACGUGCCAAGCUGCGAUAAGCCUCGGCGAGGCGCAUGGAGCCAUUGAACCGAGGAUGUCCUAAUGGGAAAUCCUAGUCUUCGGACUAAUCCGUCAGGAUGGGGAACGUCCCGGAUUGAAACAUCUUAGUAGGGACAGGAAAAGAAAUCAACCGAGAUUCCGUUAGUAACGGCGAGUGAAAGCGGAAAUAGCCUAAACCGAAUCCCGCAAGGGAGAUGUGGUGUUAUAAGCCGGUCCAAACGUCAGGGUAGAGAAGUCGAAAUGGCCUGGAAUGGCCUGCCAUAGAGUGUGAGAGCCACGUAGUCGUAUUUUAUCCUGACCGGGGCCGUGUCUUGAGUACCGUGCGUCGGAACUCGCGCGGGAAAUUGGGGGUCACCAACCUCCAAGGCUGAAUACACCUUGAGACCGAUAGCGUAGUAGUAGUGUGAACGAAAGCUGAAAAGUACCCCAAAUAGGGAGGUGCAAAGAGCCUGAAAUUGGCUGGCGAUAGUGCGUUAGGGCGCUUAAGGAUCUGUUCCUCGAAGGAAACGGCGGCAACGCCGCAGUACGAGAGGGAUUGCCGGCGUUCUAACAUGCGUUUUGAAGAACGAACCAGGGAGUGCAUAUUGGCGGCGAGGCUAAUUCUGAUAUAGAGGAAGCCGUAGCGAAAGCGACAGGCGCGCAUGAAAAGAGGCGCGACGUAUACAAGUGCGUGCAGUCGUCCGUAUGCGACCCGAAGCCGGGCGAUCUAGGCGCAGGCAGAUCGAAGCGUGGCGAAAGCUGCGUGGAGGAUCGUUAGAGGUGUUGAUAUGCAAAUCGCUCUCGUGACCUGCGUCUAGGGGUGAAAGUCCAAUCGAGGUCGGAAAUAGCUGGUUCCUCCCGAAACAUAUCGCAGUAUGACCUGGUCUGAGAUAGUCGGCGGAGUAGAGCACUGAUUGGGGAAGCCGGACUCGAAAGGGUCUGUUCUCUUGUCAAACUCCAAAACCGCCGUCGUCGUAGACGACCAGCAGUCCGGGCUGGGGGGUAAGCUUCUAGUCCGUGAGGGAGACAACCCUGACCGUGGUUAAGGUCCCCAAGUAUCGGCCAAGUGUCAACACUUAAGGGUGUCCUGGGUCAUAAACAACUGGAAGGUUAGCUUAGAAGCAGCUAUCCUUUAAAGAGUGCGUAACAGCUCACCAGUCGAGGUUUGGGGCCCCGAAAAUGGACGGGGCUCAAGUCGACUACCGAUACCACGGAGCACCGCAAGGUGAUCUAGUAGGAAGGCGUUGCGCUCGGGUAGAAGCAGGGCUGUAAAGUCCUGUGGACCGUGCGGAAACGAAAAUCCUGGCAAUAGUAACAGCAAAGUCAGGUGAGAAUCCUGACCACCGAAGGGGCCAGGUUUCCUCGGCAAUGUUCGUCAGCCGAGGGUUAGUCGGUCCUAAGACGUACCGUAAUUCGAGUACGCCGAAAGGGAAACAGGUUAAUAUUCCUGUACUAUCCAACAAUAAACUGACGUUUUUGGGCAGGCUGAGCAGCGUCGUCGCGCUGUCUAAGCACCGAAAUCCAUGGAGAGCCGUAAUGGCGAGAAGUGGAUGAAUGUGUAAUGGCGUAAGUCAGUUGCACCCGGGAACCCGUGAAAAGGGAGUUGGAUAUCCGUACCGAGAACUGACACAGGUGCCCCUAGCUGAAAAGGCUAAGGUGUGUCGGAGUAAACUGGCUAAGGGAAUUCGGCAAAUUGGCUCCGUAACUUCGGGAUAAGGAGUGCCUGCUGUGUAGACAGCAGGUCGCAGUGACCAGAGAGCUCUAACUGUCUAAUAUCAACAUAGGAAAUCGCAAACCUGUAAAGGCUAGUACGAUUUCUGAAUCCUGCCCAGUGCAGGUACCUGAAACCCCGGUUCAACGGGAAGAAGGGCCUGUAAACGGCGGGGGUAACUAUGACCCUCUUAAGGUAGCGUAGUACCUUGUCGCUUAAUUGGCGACUUGCAUGAAUGGAUCAAUGAGAGUUCUACUGUCCCUAGCCAGAGUCCGGUGAACUUUACAUUCUAGUGCACAGUCUAGAGACCUCUAGGGGGAAGUGAAGACCCCGUAGAGCUUUACUGCAGCCUGUCGUUGGGUUGUGGUUUUGGAUGUACAGUGUAGGUAGGAGACGUCGAAGCCGGUGCGCCAGCAUCGGUGGAGUCGCCAUUGGGACACUACCCUUCUGAAAUUACGAUCCUAACUCCAACGGAGGACAUCGAUAGGUGGGCAGUUUGCCUGGGGCGGGACGCCCUUGAAAAGAUAUCAAGGGCGCACAAAGGUUGACUCAAGUGGGUCGGAAACCUACUGAAGAGUGUAAGAGCAUAAGUCAGCCUGACGUUAUUCAGCACAGUAGUGGAUGACGAGACGAAAGUCGGUUCUAGCGAACUUUUGUGAUUCCCGCUUGGUGCGGGCCAAAAAUGACAGAAAAGUUACCUCGGGGAUAAUUGAGUUGUUGCCGGCAAGAGCACAUAUCGACCCGGCAGCUUGCUACUUCGAUGUCGGUUCUUUCCAUCCUGGCCGUGCAGCAGCGGCCAAGGGUGAGGUUGU
rnacentral:rRNA from 1 species